UACAGAGGGUGCAAGCGUUAAUCGGAAUUACUGGGCGUAAAGCGUGCGUAGUCGGUUAUCUAAGUCGGGUGUGAAAUCCCCGGGCUCAACCUGGGAAUUGCAUUCGAUACUGGAUAGCUAGAGUUCGGCAGAGGGAAGCGGAAUUUCGGGUGUAGCGGUGAAAUGCGUAGAGAUCGGGAGGAACACCGGCGGCGAAGGCGGCUGCCUGGACCAGUCCUGACGCUGAGGCGCGAAAGCUAGGGGAGCCAAACAGGG
rnacentral:rRNA from 1 species